rnacentral:lncRNA from 1 species
AUUUACUGUUGGAUUACCAACUGUGCAUCUCUUAGAGUGAUCCAAACUCCAUUCAUCCACUUGCACGGCUCUCAAAGUGAUGGAUUUGUGCAAUGGAAGGCGAAUCCUUCUUUUGCACAAAAGAUAACAUCUUUGACCAAGAAAAACUGAAUGUGGAGGAGAAAAUUUGUACGAAUGGUUAAUCAUGCAUGUCUUCAUCAACAGGUCAAUUAUCAUCAUAAUACUCGUCGCCCACGUGUGAAUGCAUGUAGAUAUGGAGAAAAUGACUCGGCUAUUAUCCUUUGCUUUUCUCUUCACAUACUCGAUUGGGUCCAAUAAUCAUCAUACUAACAACACUCUUAAUCAA